rnacentral:rRNA from 1 species
UACAUAGGUAGCGAGCGUUAUCCGGAAUGACUGGGCGUAAAGGGAGCGUAGGUGGUGAAUUAAGUCUUGUGUGAAAGCCCUUGGCUCAACUGAGGGAUUGCACAAGAAACUGGUUGACUAGAGUGUGAGAGAGGCAAGUGGAAUUCCUAGUGUAGCGGUAGAAUGCGUAGAGAUUAGGGGGAACACCAGAGGCGAAGGCGGCUUGCUGGCUCAUAACUGACACUGAGGCUCGAAAGCGUGGGGAGCAAAC